ACUUUCUGUGUCUCAUUUGCUUGCUACCCUCUGUGUAUUGGGUAAGUAAGAGGAAAGAUCAGCUUUUUCUUUUUUAAAUUGGGAUAUUUGUAUGUGGUAUUUGAGAGGACCCAUGGGUGCACCACCAGCUAGAGCCCGGGCUGAUUAUGAUUAUCUCAUUAAGCUUCUUUUGAUUGACGAUAGUGGAGUGGGGAAGAGUUGUCUGCUUUUGCGUUUUUCUGAUGGUUCAUUUACUACUAGUUUCAUAACGACCAUCGGGUUUG